rnacentral:rRNA from 1 species
CCUCCUCCCGGCAGCAGUAGGGAAUCUUCCACAAUGGGCGAAAGCCUGAUGGAGCAACGCCGCGUGGGUGAAGAAGGUCUUCGGAUCGUAAAACCCUGUUGUUAGAGAAGAAAGUGCGUGAGAGUAACCGUCACCCUCCCCCCUUUCUCUCCCCCUCCCUCCCCCUGUAACUACGUGCCAGCAGCCGCGGUAAUACGUAGGUGGCAAGCGUUAUCCGGAUUUAUUGGGCGUAAAGGGAACGCAGGCGGUCUUUU